rnacentral:rRNA from 1 species
GAUGAACGCUGGCGGCGUGCCAAAUACAUGCAAGUCGAGCGAACGGACGAGAAGCUUGCUUUUCUGAUGUUAGCGGCGGACGGGUGAGUAACACGUGGAUAACCUACCUAUAAGACUGGGAUAACUUCGGGAAACCGGAGCUAAUACCGGAUAAUAUUUUGAACCGCAUGGUUCAAAAGUGAAAGACGGUCUUGCUGUCACUUAUAGAUGGAUCCGCGCUGCAUUAGCUAGUUGGUAAGGUAACGGCUUACCAAGGCAACGAUGCAUAGCCGACCUGAGAGGGUGAUCGGCCACACUGGAACUGAGACACGGUCCAGACUCCUACGGGAGGCAGCAGUAGGGAAUCUUCCGCAAUGGGCGAAAGCCUGACGGAGCAACGCCGCGUGAGUGAUGAAGGUCUUCGGAUCGUAAAACUCUGUUAUUAGGGAAGAACAUAUGUGUAAGUAACUGUGCACAUCUUGACGGUACCUAAUCAGAAAGCCACGGCUAACUACGUG